ACACUGUUUCAGUUUCUCUCUUCUUUUACUCUCAUAUCAUAUCGCUUCCCUCAUCUCUUACCUUCACCUUCAAUUUCAAACAAAGAAAACCUUCAGCCAUCGCGCCGCCAUGCCUCCGACGGCAGUCGCGGCAGCUCUAAACACAAAAACCAAUGCAGAGAUGAUGAAUCUCCACAGCGGCGAUGAAGAAGACGAUGGCGGCGGUACCGCACCUAGGAAAUGGGUGGAAGGAGCCGGAUCUGAAAGGGGUCGAGUGGAAAUCUCUUAGAGAAUCUCCAAAAAAUCAAGGAUUCUGCGAUGUGAAGAACGAAUCGAGCAACAAAAACCUUCAAUCGGCGGAAGUGACGGUGGUGAGCGGCGGUGGAAAGCUUUUCAGGAUGCUGCUGAGGUAUUUGUUCAUCUACUGUGCUCUUUCAGAGAAGAGUCUGGAGGUUGUUAUGCUCCAAAGAUAAGUUCUUUAGCAUACAUUUUUGCUUCUAAUAAUAGAAUUCUUACUCCAAUACAGAGGGAUUGGCAGAGUGAGCCAGAGAGAUGGCACCGCCUCUAUUUUGGACCCUUUGACGGGAUUCUUUGUAGCAGCUUAACUUGUCAAAGUUGUUUGUCCCAGGUAUAGGAGACUUUCUUCAGUGCAAUCUAACAAACUUUUCCUCGUGUAGUUGAUUGCAUGCUUACUCUCUGGUUCUUGUUUGUAAUUUUAGUCCGCCUUCAUAAGAAAACUAUGACACUCAAAUCUGCAUCUUUUGCUAAUAUGUAUAAUGUUUGAAAUCAUUCUAUAACUGGCCAUCAGGAGGACAGAGGACUAUUGUUCAGCUUGAUGUUUUUACUGACUUCCUGUUUUGGUUACUAUUGUUGUAUUUGGAGGUAAAAAGUAGUAGUGUAACAUUACAGCCACUUGCUGAAACAUCUUGGAAGAAUUAAUGCCGGACAUUUGAAAAUGGUCAGAAAUACGAAUAUAGGAAUUUGGCUAUAGGUUGGCUUGACUUGGGUUGGGUUCCUCCAUUUCCUCUCUUCGUUAAACCCUUUUCUCUCUUCCACCGUUUCUUCCUCUCUUCAUCUACGAGUCUCCUCCAUUAAACCCUAAUCUUCUCUGUUUCUCCCUAAACUUUCUCUGCAGUAAACCUAAUCAUAUCGAAACGAAGAACCGCACGUCGCCGGACAGGUCUUGUUUCUGUGCACCGGAGGUCCGGUCCUAUUAUUGUGCACAGCCGCUUGCAUUGUUGUGCACCGCCGAUUGCUACAAGUGUUGUUGUUUUGUUACGGUUGUAUUGAUGUGUGUGUUAAUGUAUUGUAGGGACCCGCAUGUGUUGCUGCCGUUGUGUUGUUGUGUUUCUGUCAUCUUCGUUUCUUCUUUUUCUGGUAAGUGUUUAGCCGCGACUCUGUAUGUAUAUGAGUGUGAAUGAAAUUUGUGUGACUCUAUAUGUAUGUACCGGUGAUUGAAUAUUACUUUCGAAUUCAUGGUUUGUAUGUUGGUUUCAACAAUUGAAUGUUGUAUAUAUUAGAUGUUAUGUCUGAAAAUUGAAAAGAAAAAGAGAAAUAACUAAGAGUGUGGUUAGAUUUAGCCUGUCAAGAUGUCAAGAAAACAAGAGUUGGAAUUGUUAGUUAUAUUAAUAGCAAAAUUAAAAUUGCAUUUUACAAACUCUGAUAACUGUUCUCAUCUUCUCAAUCUUUAGAGGUUGAAUUUGAAUGGUGUGUGUUAACAGAACAUCUUCAACUAUUAUACAAAUACUCAUGUACACAGAACUUUUCCAGCAGAACAAGCUCCCUCUGCAGAAACUUGUAUCAAAUUCAACACACUAUCCUUGUCAAAGAGUAUACAAGUGAGACGAUAUGUUUGUUGUAUUAAAAACAUAAUUUGUAGGCUUUGAAUAUUAAGUGUUUUCAGUUAGAUCUAACAAGUGAAUUGCAGUUAAAUUUGGACCUUGAUUGGAGACCUUGAAGCUGAUGUAGGAAAUGAAGUGUUAAAGGUUGAAAAAACAGCACAUGUUAAUAUUUAAUAUUAACUUAUAUGACUUUUGAAAAUUAAUUAACUCACCCUGUGCAGUUUGCUGCAAAGCCAUUAAAAGCGACAUUCGAUAACAAGUUUUUUAUUUUUUCUUAGUGAUAUUUAAUUAUUAAUCACCCUUUUGCAGUAUAAUACUUUAUGAAAGAGAUUGACUAAUUUACACAUAAAGUGCUGGUGUUAGACCCUUUGAUCUUUCAAGAUUGAUUGUUGGCUUUGAUCCAUGCACCGGGUCACCUUUUCUACACAAUUGGAAGAAAUCCAAGUUCAAUACGUGAGUUUUAAGAGAAGAACUCAAAGGAAACUUCUGGGCAUUGCUUGAAUGAGCAGGGUAUUGGAAAUGGCAUUGCUCUCGGUGCUGUUGUAACUACUCCUGAGAUUGCAAAGGCUUUGACUCCAAGAAAUUACUUUAACACCUUUGGUGGAAACCCUGUUUGUACAGCUGCAGGAUUGGCUGUUUUAAAAGUAAUAGAGAAGGAAAAGCUUCAAGAAAAUGCAUUUGUAGUGGGAUCCCAUUUGCAGCACAACCGAAGUGAUGUUCAACUUCAAGUCCUUCUCACUAGUUUUCUGUUAUGGGUUUUAGGAGGUGAUGUUGCUGGUUUCUUAGACUGAUGUGGUUAUAUUUUAUUGUAUGUUGUAUAGAUGACUGACAUUCUGCUUUUAGUUUUAAGGCUUGUUUGGAAUGGCCGAUUUGAACAUAUUUGUCCGACUAUUUGAAAGAGACUGGCAAUUGCGGAUUGUGAGGCUGAACUUGCAGCCAUCUGUUCAGCAAUGGGAGAGCGUCCGAUGCAUAUUAGACAGGUUGGCUGUUUUAAUAAUCUUAUCUGCGGAUUUUUAGGUGGUUUUUACUAUGGGAAAAUCAAGUUUCCUCCAGAAUAUCCAUAUAAACCUCUUGGAAUCAGGUGCUCUAUUGUUGUUAGAUGAUGACCUUGAGAAGCCUCGGUUUUCUGGGCGUGGCAGGAGACCUUUUUUUCUGUAGUGGUUAUUCCUAAAUAUGUAUAUUUAUAAUUUUUGCGAAUAUUUUAUACAAUUAUUCCUAAAUAGGUAUAUACAUGUUUUUGACGAAUAUUUUUUUAUAAUCAAGAAUUUUAUCAUAUUAAUAUGAUAUCAUAAUUGAAUACCAUAUAUAUUACAAAUUGUUUUCCUUUGCUCGAAGAACUUCAACUCGAGAGAAUUGCACUAUUCUGUUAUGAGAAUAACUUCAUUGAUGAAAUAAAGACUCUUUCGUUGAAACUUUCCAAACUCCGCAAGGUUAAUCUCUCUGCUCAUUCUUACAUGAACGACUAAUUGUUUUUCCACUUAUUCUACAACUGUAAGCAUUUCCAAGAGGCCAUCAUAUUGGACUAUUUUAAAAUAACUAUCGCUGGUAUCAUUUCUGUUCUCUGUGAGAGACCGAAAUUCACGUCUUUACACUUUAUCAAUAAAACAGACAAUUGUUCAAAUUUGUUUGCCAUUCUUAGAAACUGUCCUUCACUUACCAAUAUCAAAAUGGAAUACCCUUAUCCAUAUAUGCUAGAAGAGAUUGUGGAUAAUUUUAAUUCUUUAAUGGUUGUAAACCCUCAAUUAAAGUCUCUAUGUUUGGCUAGCAAUACACGGUUAAGUGAUGAAAGCGUCAUAGUCUUGGCUUCUAUUUUCCCUAAUUUGCAACUCCUUGAUUUAAGUUACUGUAAUAAGAUAUCUCAAGGUAUUUGUCAAGUUUUAAAGAGAUGUUGUAAAAUUAUGCAUUUGAACUUAGUCGGCUGUUCAAAAGUGAACCUACUUGGAAUGAGCUUUGAGGCUCCUAAAUUGGAGAUGUUGAACUUGUCACAUACAGAAGUUAAUGAUGCAGAACUUCAUGUUAUCUCAAAGAGUUGUCGUGGGCUUUUGCAACUGUUACUUCAAAAUUGUAUUUAUGUCUCAAAUACGGGAGUGAAACAUGUGGUAGAAAAUUGCACUCGGCUAAGAGAGAUUAGUUUGAAAGGUUUCUAUAAAGUGCAUCCUAAUGUUGUUCUCUCAAUGAUAUUAUCAAGGUCAUCAUUAAGAAAAAUAAUUGUUCCACCACGUUAUCCUUUCAACGGAGAGAGGUAACUCUUGAGUCAUGAAUGCCUUCUUUGUUAAUAUUAUGAAACAAUUAUGUUAAAAGUUUGAACUCUCAAAUGUAAAGUGUUUUUUAUUUUCAAAUUUACUUAUGUGGAAUAACUUCGAAAAAAAUUGUGUAUAUGCUCAUCUGUUUGUUCAUGAUAUACUAGAAUAGAGGAUAUAUGAUUAUGUUAUUAUAAGCUUCUUUUUGCUGUGUAUGCUACCAGUCAAUGUUGAUGGGUACAUACAUGCUUAUGGCUUUUUUUAUUUCCUAUUUGAAUUGAGUAAAUAGUGUUGGUCUAGUUAGAUAUAUUGCUCAAGUCUUUACAGUCAUUGCACUUAUGAAACUUCUAUAACCAAAAAAAGUUGAUCUUUGUCAACAUCAUUUGAAUAGGUAGGUAACCAGUUAAGGAUAAUCAAUUUGUGAAUAUCUUACCACAUUCUAAGGGUUAAUGGCUAGCAAUAAGGAAAAUUGCACUACAUCCAAUAAUAUUGGAGUAAACAUUUUGAGAGCUCAACAUAAACGUUCUGGGAGAUACAGAUUGGAAUGCGAAUUAUCUGAAACAGGCUGAUCAAGUUCCACCAAAUAUCAGAAAGACAACAAGGUUCCUCCAAAUUCUUGCCACUAACUAACAAAGCCCCAUGAGAUGCGCUAGACUUUCCUCCUCCGUCAAACAAAACACACAAGUUAAGUCUUUACUUUUCGACAAAAUUCCCCUCUUACACAAUUGGUCCUUAGUCGGAAUGCUAUUGAGAAGAAUCCUCCAUCCAAAGAUUUGCACUUUAGACAGAAUCAUAACCUUCCAUAAGUGAUUAAUAGCGUUCACCACAUCCGUGGUAAGAGGAGAAACAAUUAAAUUCUCGCUAAAAAGCUCGAAACAAGACCUUACCUAGAACUCCCCAUCGAUUUCUUUCAACCAUUCAAAAGUGUCCGACGCGUUUUUGUCCAACGCCAAAUCCUGAACCGUUUCCGCAAACUCCUGCCAUAUGCAGGGUAGAAUGCUGCUACUGUUAGCGAUAAGGGCUGUGAGGUUCCACCUUCAAACAGUCCCUGUCCGGCUUCCCACGGCCGCAACACAUGCGUGUUCAUCAACAGCUCUCAAGCCAUAUUCGGGAAAGCUGGGCCGAUUGGCGAUAUUGAGCGACAUAAUUUUCAAUGGAAAAUGAAAGAUUUGAGGGAGAAGUUUGUCGAGGUCGCAAGAGACCCGCGAGAAGUUAACGGAAGUGAGGUUGGUAAACCUUUGAACGAGACGAGGGAGGAAAGGUAGAGUACGUUGAUAGACCGUGAGAGAGAAUCGAAAACCGCUGGUGAUGGAGAGGAAUUGUUUUGAGACCAGUGAGAGACACCUCAAAUACUCGUCAUCGCAGUUGAGAAAUUUGAAGAUAAGUUCCCAACACUCAUCAAGUAAAUACGAAUCAGUUUGAGAAAACGAUUCUUGUGAAACUUUGACACAAUUUCUCUUAUUUUCAUAAUGUAGAAUUCUGCGUUUAAUUCUCAUUUGAAAUUAGGGUUUAGUUUAGGGUAAAACCUUUUUUUAUGUAAUCAACUAUUGAUUACUUUAAUCGGUAGCCUAUUUUUAUGGGUAGAAUUACAGAAAUGAUAUUCUUACACCAAAUCUUACACCUACACCGUAUGUACGGACGACACUGUUCAUGGACGGACGACAUUGUUCAUGUACGGACGGAUACUAUUCAUGUACGGACGUUUAUUUUUAAUACUUGGACGUACAUUAACCAAUUUCAUUACCGCAUUAACCAAGUUUUUACACUGCGUUAACCAAGUUUUUACACUACUAAAAAAUAUUUUUAAUACCUGGAUGUUGCAUUAACCAACUUUAUUACUGAAUUAACCAAGUUUUUAUACUGCAUUAACCAAGUUUGGUGACUGCUAAAAAUUAUUUUUAAUACCUGGAAGUUGCAUUAACCAACUUCAUUAUUGUAUUAACCAAGUUUUUACACUGCAUUAACCAAAUUUAGUGACUACUGUAAAAUACUGUUGGGUGUAAGUAUUGGUGUAACAAUUGGGUGUAUGAAUAGCAUUACUCGUAGAAUUAACAAUAAUAAAAAUUUA